rnacentral:lncRNA from 1 species
UCUCUCUCUCCCCUCCUCUUUUUAAUUUGUCGUCUUCAAUCUCAACCACUCUAGAAAUCCUUCAGGCUCAGAGAAUUUGCACUAUAUUUCUUCUUCAUCAAACCAGAUUAUCCUUCUGGGAUUUGGCAUAUCAUAUUUAGCAAAGGGUAAAGGAACAACGACCUUUAGUAAAAGAAGAAAUAAGACCACAUACUCUCUGCGAGUUGUGGUUGCCGUAGAGUCCAUGCGUAGAGAGUCAUUCGCCGCUCACUGCUUCAAUUGGACUUGUAAGUUUUCCACUAAUUACUCUACUUCAUGAAAAUUUCUUUUGAAUUUUUUGUUUUAAUUUGUGUCAAUCCAAUGUUUUCGAUCUUGGUCUUGUCUAAUGUGUAUUAAAUAACUGGAGUGCGAAGGAAAUCAGGCAAAAAACUACUAAUGCAUGAGGUCUGAAAGCUUCAUUUUCAUCUUACUUACAUACUCCCUGUGAAUGACUAGAAAUACACCAAAAGCUCAGGUAAACUUUAUGUAUUAAUUAAAUUCUUGUUAUCGUGGCAAGAACCAAAUUGACUUUUUAACGACCAUUUCCGGUUCUUGUUGACUAAGUACUCUAUUGCUUUGUUCUGUCUCGCAGACCAAUUCGUCUAGGCAAUCAUUCCUUUUUACUGAUGACAUCUGUUUUGUAUGCUGAGUAGUUUUUUUGGCAAGCUUGGGGGUACGGAAUGCUGAUAUACAUAUAUGAUUUUAGUUCUGAUUUUGGAAGCACCAAUUGAAUGGUCGCUAGAGCUCGUGCAUCGUAAAUUCUUGUCCUACUUGCCAUGCAUGUUUCUAGAAUUAAACGCAACUUCAUGCUUGAGGAAAUUGAGAUUUUCUUUUCUUGAGAAUUUGAUGGUCGGUAGGAAAUUGUGGGUCUUGAAAUAUGUUUAAACAACUUACAGUACGAAGUUUUCAAAGGUAUCUUGAUGUAAAUAUUGCUAAGGGUGUGCAUUCUUAUCGAUUUACAUUUCACAUUUAUGCAAAAUGUGAUUUCUUCGGGGUUUCACCUCGGCUUUGUUCAUUUGUCAAUCUCACAUUUUUGCUUAGAGUAGAGGUUGUAUGUGACUAGAGCUGCUUUAGUUUUCUGUGCUUGCUUUAGAAAUUCAAAUACAACUACCAACCUUCUUCUUGUGUGAUUUAAUCAAGUUGAAUGUUGAAGACGGAUCUAGGAGCACAAAUUGAAACAAUUAGCUUAACGUGUGAACCUCCGAGCUCUGGAUUUCAAUGGCA